GACGAACGCUGGCGGCGUGCUUAACACAUGCAAGUCGAACGGAAAGGCCUCUUUCGGGGGUACUCGAGUGGCGAACGGGUGAGUAACACGUGAGUAACCUGCCCUUGACUUUGGGAUAACUUCAGGAAACUGGGGCUAAUACCGGAUAGGAGCUCCUGCUGCAUGGUGGGGGUUGGAAAGUUUCGGCGGUUGGGGAUGGACUCGCGGCUUAUCAGCUUGUUGGUGGGGUAGUGGCUUACCAAGGCUUUGACGGGUAGCCGGCCUGAGAGGGUGACCGGCCACAUUGGGACUGAGAUACGGCCCAGACGCCUACGGGAGGCAGCAGUGGGGAAUAUUGCACAAUGGGUGGAAGCCUGAUGCAGCAACGCCGUGUGCGGGAUGACGGCCUUCGGGUUGUAAACCGCUUUCGCUCAUGACGAAGCUUUGUGUGACGGUAGUGGGUAAAGAAGCACCGGCUAACUACGUG
rnacentral:rRNA from 1 species